rnacentral:rRNA from 1 species
UACGGAAGGGGCUAGCGUUGUUCGGAGUUACUGGGCGUAAAGAGCGCGUAGGCGGCUUACCAAGUUGGGGGUGAAAUCCCGGAGCUCAACUCCGGAACUGCCUUCAAAACUGGUAGGCUCGAGUCCGGAAGAGGGGCGUGGAAUUCCCAGUGUAGAGGUGAAAUUCGUAGAUAUUGGGAAGAACACCGGUGGCGAAGGCGGCGCCCUGGCCCGGUACCGACGCUGAGGCGCGAAAGCGUGGGGAGCAAACAGG